CCUACGGGCGGCUGCAGUGGGGAAUAUUGGACAAUGGGGGGAACCCUGAUCCAGCCAUGCCGCGUGUGUGAAGAAGGCACUCGGGUUGUAAAGCACUUUCAGUGAGGAAGAACGCCUGGUGGUUAAUACCCAUCAGGAAAGACAUCACUCACAGAAGAAGCACCGGCUAACUCCGUGCCAGCAGCCGCGGUAAUACGGAGGGUGCGAGCGUUAAUCGGAAUUACUGGGCGUAAAGCGCGCGUAGGUGGCUUGAUAAGCCGGUUGUGAAAGCCCCGGGCUCAACCUGGGAACGGCAUCCGGAACUGUCAAGCUAGAGUGCAGGAGAGGAAGGUAGAAUUCCCGGUGUAGCGGUGAAAUGCGUAGAGAUCGGGAGGAAUACCAGUGGCGAAGGCGGCCUUCUGGACUGACACUGACACUGAGGUGCGAAAGCGUGGGUAGCAAACAGGAUUAGAUACCCUGGUAGUC
rnacentral:rRNA from 1 species